GGAACUCCGCCCACUCUGCAUGCUUUAAAAGGCAAGGGAAGAGUAACACUGGGGACUCCGCCCACUCUGCAUGCUUUAAAAGGCAAGGGAAGAGUAACACUGGGGACUCCUCCCACUCUGCAUGCUUUAAAAGGCAAGGGAAGAGUAACACCGGGGACUCCGCCCACUCUGCAUGCUUUAAAAGGCAAGGGAAGAGUAACACUGGGGACUCCUCCCACUCUGCAUGCUUUAAAAGGCAAGGGAAGAGUAACACUGGGGACUCCUCCCACUCUGCAUGCUUUAUAAGGCAAGGGAAGAGUAACUCCGCCCACUCUGCAUGCUUUAAAAGGCAAGGGAAGAGUAACUCCGCCCACUCUGCAUGCUUUAAAAGGCAAGGGAAGAGUAACUCCGCCCACUCUGCAUGCUUUAAAAGGCAAGGGAAGAGUAACACCGGGGACUCCGCCCACUCUGCAUGCUUUAAAAGGCAAGGGAAGAGUAACACCGGGGACUCCGCCCACUCUGCAUGCUUUAUAAGGCAAGGGAAGAGUAACUCCGCCCACUCUGCAUGCUUUAUAAGGCAAGGGAAGAGUAACUCCGCCCACUCUGCAUGCUUUAUAAGGCAAGGGAAGAGUAACACUAGUGAAAAUGAACAAAAAGGGAUUCUGUUACUCAUCAAACUUCUCUUCGUUACACAAUGUUUUAACUGUCAAUGAAAAUGCAUUUUAGGGCACUUGAUUCGUAGCCUGGUUCUGAACUGAAUUCUCUUCAUGGAAGUGAUCGUGAAACUGGAAUAUUCUGUUCUGUGAAUAAUCAUAACAGGCUACUUGUUAUUGAGGAAGGUUGUGACAAUUGAAGCACAAAUCAUGAGGUACUCCCACUAUAUCACUGCCUGUGCUUAGUGCACACGGACAUGACCAGUUAUUGAAUUGUUUACACAAACCAUUGGUUAAAGAAGCCUAAACCUGUUGCAAUUCCCUGUCUACCGUACAGACUGCUCCUUUACCAAUGACCAGAAUGGGGUCCUGUUAAGACAUUUAAUGUUCUCUUUCAGCUUGUACUGUAUUUGCUCUUUAACUGUGGCGACAUCCCAAAUGGUACCCUAUUCCCUACAUAGUGCACUACUUUUGGCCAGAGCCUAUGAAGAAGUGCACUAUAUAGGGAAUAGGGCACCAUGUCUUGCUCCUGUGUACAUUAUGAACCAUUUCAAAGUAUUGCAUUUAUUUUACACAGACAACUGUCACUACUUCAGUUCUCUCAAAUACUGUAAAUCAUUAAAACAAUACAUGUCUAUGGAUUAGCAGAA